AGAUUAAGCCAUGCAUGUGUAAGUAUAAACAACUUGUACUUGUUAAACUGCGAAUGGCUCAAUAAAUCAGUUAUAAUUUAUUUGAUAGUGAUGUAAAGUCUUAAAACAUUUUACUACAUGGAUAGCCGUAGUAAUUCUAGAGCUAAUACAUGCAUAAAGAUCCGACUCGUAAGGGAAGGAUUGUAUUUAUUAGAUCGACAAAACCAACUAUAUAUUUUCUUUUAUUAUUGAAGUAAUGUGAGAGUCAAAUCUUGUGUUAUGAAUCGAUAAAAGAAAUAUUAAAAUAAUUGGUGGAAUCAUAAUAAACUUAGUCGAAUCAGGAUUUAGUUUCUGAUGAAUCAUUGAAAUUUCUGCCCUAUCAACUGUUGAUGGUAGGAUAGAGGCCUACCAUGGUUUUGACGGGUAACGGAGAAUUAGGGUUCGAUUCCGGAGAGGGAGCCUGAGAAAUGGCUACCACUUCCAAGGAAGGCAGCAGGCGCGCAAAUUACCCAAUCCCAAUAAAGUUGGGGAGGUAGUGACAAAAAAUAACAAUGCAGAGUGUCUAUGACAUUUCUGUAAUUGGAAUGGCUUUAAUGUAAAUGCUUAAAGGAGUAACAAUUAGAGGGCAAGUCUGGUGCCAGCAGCCGCGGUAAUUCCAGCUCUAAUAGUGUAUACUAAAAUUGCUGCAGUUAAAAAGCUCGUAGUUGGAUUUUGGAGGAAACGAAAAGAAUUAAUUAUUUUUUUAAAAGAGCCUUCACGUAAAAAUAGUAAGUUUUUUUAAUAUAAAAAUUUUUCAAGUAUGCAAAUAUUUGAAAAUUUUUAAAUUUAACUUACGGCUCUGUUUCUUCCUAAUUAAUUUUUCGAAGUUCGGUCUUCCCCUUAAUUGGGUUGUAAUAGCCAUUAUUUAAUUAUCUUGGUUUUAUUCAGAAGAUUGUAUAAUAAAUAGUAAUAUUUAAAACUUCGGAGAUUUUACUUUGAAGAAAAUGGAGUGUUCAAAGCAGGCGUUUUUUCGCAACUGAACACAUUAGCAUGGAAUAAUAAAAUAGGACACUUGAUUAAAAUAGCGAUAAUUAUUUUUUUAAUAGUUUUCAAAAUUUGAAAUUUCCGUCAAAAGAAAUGAAUAAUUUUGAUAUAAAGAUUAUUCUAAAAGUAAUUAUAAAGCGUUAAUUGAAAAACACGCUGGAAAUUUUAUCUGGGAACCGUUAAAAAGUUUUUGGUAAAAUUUUUGGGUGUAAAAUUUUUCAUUCCGUUUUGUUGGUUUUUAAAGAUCUAGAUGAAAGUCUAGGUUGUUUGGAACAAGUGUAAUGAUUAAAAGGGACAGUUGGGGGCAUCCGUAUUGCAUUGUCAGAGGUGAAAUUCUUGGAUUUAUGCAAGACGAACGAGUGCGAAAGCAUUUGCCAAGGAUGUUUUCAUUAAUCAAGAACGAAAGUUAGGGGAUCGAAGGCGAUCAGAAACCGCCCUAGUCUUAACUAUAAACUAUGCCAACUAGGGAUUGGAGGGAAGCUCUAAAAUAAUAAACAAACUUUUAAUUGUUAAUUUUGUUGUUAUGUGAAUGCAAAUUUAUAUGAUGGCAGGAUUAACGCUAUAUUAAAAGAUUGUUGAUUUUAAGCCCCGUCAGCACCUUUAGAGAAAUCGAUCAAGUCUCUGGGUUCUGGGGGGAGUAUGGUCGCAAGUCUGAAACUUAAAGAAAUUGACGGAAGGGCACCACCAGGUGUGGAGCCUGCGGCUUAAUUUGACUCAACACGGGGAAACUUACCAGGUCCAGACACAGGAAGGAUUGACAGAUUGAUAGUUCUUUCUUGAUUCCGUGGGUGGUGGUGCAUGGUCGUUCUUAGUUGGUGGAGUGAUUUGUCUGGUUAAUUCCGAUAACGAACGAGACCUCAACCUGCUAACUAGCUUAAUAAUUCUAUAUUUUAAUAUUAAUAAUAACAAAUAUUCAUUGUUAUAAGAAAGGCUUCUGCUUUUCUCUAUUUCAUUAUUUGUUUAUAGAUUGGUAAAGUAAUUGAUUACUACCAUAUGUACUCCAAUUCAAUUUGGCUCUAUGUUUGGCACAUUGUUAUUUUAUUGGUUUAUGGAUACAAUAGUGAAGGGGAUUAAGUGGUGUUUUUGUAGCAGUGGAUUAUUUAGACUAUCAGGGGAAUAUGUUUUGAUUUUGUAUAAUAAACAUUAAUUAGAAAUAGUUAGUGUUUGUUAUGUGAGUUAAAAUAUAUUUUCACGUCUAAGGAAUUAUAACUUUUUUUUUCUGUUUAAUUUAUUUGCUGUAACAGGUUAAGUAAAUUAUUCAGGGGAAAAAAGAAAUAAAAGCUUCUUAGAGGGACUACCAUGGUUGCACAUGGGGGAAGCAUGAGGCAAUAACAGGUCUGUGAUGCCCUUAGAUGUCCUGGGCCGCACGCGCGCUACACUGAUAGAGUCAACAAGCUUAAAUUUAAUUUAUUCCCGUAAAAAAGGGGAAUAGUAUUUUAUUAAAUGGAGGGAAGGUAGAUUUUUUUUAAUUUUUUUGUGGCAGGGCAACUUGUUGCAAAGAAAUGAAGGAAAAGUUUAUUGACUUUCUACUUUAAUGAUAUUAUUUCACUUGGAAAGUUUUAAAAUGAAAUCCUUGCCUGAAAAGGUUGGGUAAUCUUUUUAAACUCUAUCGUGAUGGGGAUUGAUCUUUGUAAUUUUGGAUCAUGAACGAGGAAUACCUAGUAAGUGCAAGUCAUCAGCUUGCGCUGAUUACGUCCCUGCCCUUUGUACACACCGCCCGUCGCUCCUACCGAUUGAAUGAUCAGAUGAAAUGUUUGGAUUGAAGAUUUGCAGGUUCGUUUGCAGAAGAUAUUUUUUUUUAUUGUAAAAGAUAAAAAGAAUGUUUUUGAGAAUCAGUUGAUUUUUAAGAAGAACAGUGAAUCUUAUUAUUUAGAGGAAGGAGAAGUCGUAAC
rnacentral:rRNA from 1 species